GAACGACAUCAAAGCAUGACAGGAGGUGUUCGGAUUCCCUGGCCCAAGCCUCAAGCAGGGCCUGGAGGGUGGCAGGGCUCCAAUCCAGGCCAAGCGUCUGGGGACUUUGUGAAAAGAGUUCUUUCACUUUGAUCACAAGCCUCUGAAGACCUGCCACGGCAGCCUCCAAGUCUCUGCCAGUUUGCUGCUGUGGGCAGCAGACCCAAACCAAAUGGGCCACCCGGAUCAUCUGCUUAGCCUGGUUGUGGAAAGCAUCGAGAAGUAUCUGGACAGUCUCUGCCAAGGCUUCGCUAUCACAGCGGAACCUGAUAGUGGACGUCGCCAAGGCGGCCUGGACCAGUGUCUCUAGAGGACUUUGGGUGUCUGUGAACGUGUCCAGAAUCUGGCGCAGUAACCCAGCGCGAACUGCUCGAAAGAGCGCAUCAGUCGCGGCCCGCAGAGCUUCGCAGUCGGUCCCUGGACUGGACCGGGGGAGACUGUGCACCCCGGGUCGCAGCUGCAUCAACUGCCGGCAGCGGGACACCAGGUGCAUCCUCUCCUGUGGCGCGGAGCAGGCGGCUAGACGCAGGCAGUGCCACACCACGGCGGCCAGUGGUGCAUCCAGUAGCAGGUGACCAGGCCCAGGGUCCUCCAGGACCUUUCGCAGCUUGCACAGACCGCGCGCCAAUGCUCCAUUCUGAGAGAGCACUCCGGUCCCUACGACGCCAACGCCGGGCUGCAGCGCGUCCAGGAGCUCUUCGAGGCUCUGCCUGGUCAGAGCGAAGACCCGGCGCCGUGAGGCCACCAGCUGCGGAUCGCGGGGAUGCCGGAGGUGACCGUGGGCAGCCGCGAGCAGUGCGGGGACACAGCACCCUAGGCGGUGGCGAGCUCGACCCAGAUGCUGGUCCCAGGCCCAGCGCGCGGUCAGGCCGCCCAGUCUGAAAAGCGCAGCCGCCAGGUCAUCAAGCGAGGUGCGCAGCGAGGUGGUGUCCUCCGCCUCCUCCAGCGCCUCCACGCAUGUCAGACACCAAUUGGCCGCUGUCCUGGUCUUCCUCACCGCAGCAGCAUCAUCAAGGAGCAAGACCUGAUGGGGCCGUCACAAAAGGGAAGAGACUUGAAGAUAACUGGACAUUUUUGGAGCCUCGUAGUUUAAGCCUAGAAAACCUUAUUUUCAGUUAACCUGCAUGUAACCAAAUACAGGCAUUAGGCUAGGACCUGAGAAUCCACACUUCAGUCUUAGAGAUUUACAGCUGUAAAACCAAAGAUCUUAAGUAGCUGCCUUCACUCCGCGUUUCAUGUGGGGGUCUAACCUAGACUGUUCAAGGAUGGAUUAUUAUUUAGAUGAGAAUGAUAGGCUGGAGAGCGGGCCUGUCCUGCAAGCUUCUUUGAGACAGCUUUUGUAGCCUCACUGCCUCUCCUGGACACUCCGUCCACUCCCCAACCCUUUACCCAAGCC
rnacentral:lncRNA from 1 species